ensembl:snRNA U6 U6 spliceosomal RNA
GUGCUCGCUUCAGCAGCACAUAUACUAAAAUUGGAACGAUACAGAGAAGAUUAGUAUGGCCCCUGCGCAAGGAUGACACACAUAUUCAUGAAGUGGUCCAUAUUUUU